UACGGGGGGGGGCAAGCGUUGUUCGGAAUUACUGGGCGUAAAGGGCUCGUAGGCGGCCCUCUCAGUCGGAUGUGAAAUCCCCAGGCUCAACUUGGGAACGGCAUCCGAUACUGGAGGGCUUGAAUUCGGGAGAGGGAUGCAGAAUUCCAGGUGUAGCGGUGAAAUGCGUAGAUAUCUGGAGGAAUACCGGUGGCGAAGGCGGCAUCCUGGACCGAGAUUGACGCUGAGGAGCGAAAGCUAGGGGGAGCAAACGGGG
rnacentral:rRNA from 1 species